GUAUUGGCCGUGGCGGGGGUCACAAGCAGCCAUCAGGUUUUUGGCAUCGAAGACCUGCUGGAAGAAGAAACUUCAUGAGAGAUGCCAAGCCAGAACCACCCACAUAAGCUAUUUCCUAAUUCGUCAUCCACAGAGUCUUGGAGGAAACUGAGGACGAGAGAAGUUCUAAUGCUUGCCAAGUGGAUUCAUCUAAGGAGAAUCAAGUUUCUUACAGAAAGACAGAGGCAAGGAAAUAUUUACUAGUAAAGUGAAACAGACUCUCCUGUCCUGGCAGAGAAAAGACUUUCCAUUAGGAGUAGAGAGAAAAUUCAAUCUAGCUGUGAAUCUCCUCUUUGCAUGUUCAUGGGAAAUAAAAUCUGUUUUGCCCUGGGACAGCCCUCCCCACACCCUGGAGUGAAUUUCCAAAAUUAGGGCAGGACAUUUUCCUUAUGAUAGCUAUUGAAAAAUUACCCAGGAAUGGGGUGCCUCUGCUCCCUCCCAGCCAAGGUACAAAGAUAUUUUCUCAGACUGAAGGCCCUAGGGCCUAUUGUUCAACAUCUCAUGUCAGUGUCAGUAUUAGAUGCUGCAGGAGAAUGAGCUUAAGUCUAGCCCACUCCACUUUUCUUCCACAUUCCUCCAGUUGCUCUCCCCAAAUUCAUUUCCUGUCUCCCUCACCACUGAGAGCUUAGAUUCCUAAAGAAAAAUGUGUGCAAGCCUAGGGGAACGGUAUCUACCAGUCCUUGGAAACAUGUUUUAUUCUACAUAAACAUAAAGGUCAACUAUAACCCCCAGAGUAAAGGGAGUCAGACUCAGAAAAUAAACACUUUGUUCCCUUUCUAGUAUGUUAACAGCUUUGGAUUGUUGACUGCCCCCAAAGGUCACCAGAACUAAGUUUAUUAAACUUAAUGCUGUAAGAGAGAACUCCACCUUAACCUAUUAUGAGGAGCGGAAAGCCAGGAGAAGACAUUUAUUCAUAGUGUUUUAGGGUCUGAGUUGUGUGAUUUUGUGAUGGAUAUUUCAAGACUGAAAUGUAUUGGUACAGCAAAGCCAGGGUCAUGAAAUUAGUCUUACAAAUAAGCUGUUUGGGGUGGUAGGUAAGCUGUUUUAGUCGGUUUACAAUAUUAUUUCUGAAAGCAGUGAUUCCUAGAGCAAAUAGCUAAGUUAUUUUUACUUGUUUUCAGUAUUGUUUAAGCCAGGAAAGUAUGCCUAAUCUCAGAAUUGUUUAACAUAAAGACACAGAAUUACGUUGGUUUCAAUCCUCAUGACAUCGAGGGAAAAAAACCCAAAUUAAUAUCUCAGAAAGUUAUCCUGCCACUGAAGUAUUAGCAAAAGUCCUUCCCAUUCCAUCUAGCCUUUCCGUAAAUGAAACUACUACCACUUUCAGCUUCAAAUUUCUACAAAUACAUUUCUACAAGAUGAACAUGCUAAGGCCUUUUAGUCAAUAUACUGAAGUCAAUAGAAACUGUGUCAAUGAUUCUCUAAAAUACUAUACUAAAGAGAAAAAACUAUGUUUGAAGCAGAAGCCAGAUAGAUAUUUAACUUCUUCCAGCUGUGGUUUCCUUAGUCAAAAUAAUAUUAUCAUUAUUGUGGGCAUUAAAGACAUAAUGCAUAUGUAUUCAGAAUAAUUUUGGGUGAUUUUAAAGUAAUGCAUUUUUUACUUCAGAAAUUAUUAGUUCCAAAUCGUUCCCACAACUCACAGAUAUUAAGUGAUAUCAGAAAGAGAGUUUCUUCUAUAACGAAACAAAAAAUCCCUCAUCCAUUCUGACGGCUCUCCAAGGAGGCUUGCUGCCCCAUGGUAAAAGAAGUUAUGACAUGAAAGAAGAAAAUGAAUCCCAUAUUUUCUAGAAUAAGGGGUUAUAAAGAGGUCAGAAUGAGAGCAAAGAGGUUAGGCACCAGGGUUCUCAUUUAUCCUCUUCUAUUGUGGUUGUUAAAGAUUCUAGAAACAUCCUGAUGAGAAUGGGAGAGUUCAAGAACUCCAGGGCUAAUGGCUGUCUUUCUUGGGUGCACGAGUGACAAAGAUUUCCUCCUUGACCAAAUUUUAGUUAGGCUCCUCUGAGCCUUCUUGACUAAGCCUCUACUUUGGUCUGUCUUUAAUAAGAAUCCUGCUAAUUCAGUUUAGUGAGAAUCCUUCACCCUUGAUAUCUGAUCAAGUUCUUCACUUCUCACCCUUGAUGUCUAAAUCCUUAGCCUGCCUUUAGCAAGAAUCCCUCUGCCCUCUCCUUUUAGUAGUUUUGCAUCCACUGAUGCCUUCAUUGUGCUUGUUGGCUGUAACUUCCAACUCCUGUCUUUAUUGUAUUUGGAGUUGAGCUCAAUUUCUCUUCUUUAUUGCUAAGUCAUGACCCCUCUUACAAUAGUUUUGAAUAAAUCUCACUUACCAUUUUUAACAGUGUCUGAAUAAUUUUUCUUGAAUAUGAAGGGCACAAAAAGCUAAGAAAAUUCUAGAUGCAGCCAUUUCUGCAAUAGUGUGGAAUAAUGAUGGACCAGCAGCAGUAGAAAGUGUUCAACCUCAUGAGCCUAAAGAGAGUUUCCUAUUCCUGUGUCUUGUGUGUGGUGUACUGGGGUUCCAGAAGCUCUCACUUGUCCUUUUAAGGACACAAGAAGAACCAUACAUACCUCAUAGUAACCAUACCCCAUAGUAACCAGUCCAGGGCCACCAUGGACCAGUCACUCUAUAACAGAGAUGGUAAUGGUUCAGAAAUCUUGGCUCAGAUUUGAGACCAACAUAUCCCAUCCCCUCUGAAAUGAAAGGACAGGAAUUGCUUUGUUUAUGUGCAUAUGUUUUGUUCAUGUCUGUAUCUCCAACUUAUUUUUUUGUUUUUAAUACAAUUUAUUUAAUUGUAUGUUUAUAUAAUUAUAUAAUGGCCAGAUUUAACAAUUGGCUUGCACAAUUCCUGAAAUUUUAACAAUCACUUCUUAUGAACCUGAAUAGACCAGCUCCAGCACAGCAAUAGUAGUGAUUUGAACCAGGCGAUGUGAAGUAUACAUGCCCUAAGAAGUAGGAUAUCGCCUCUAUAUUCUAAAUAAUUAAUAGGGCUUGGUAUUCUUUUGACAUCUCAGACAGCACUGCAGUAAGUACCAUGGUCUAUAGCUCUGGUUGUAUAUAAAAAUCUCAGUCAUCCCAGGUUACAAACAAUUGUUUAGCUAACAUAAUAAUAUCUUUCAUUGUGAAGUAUCUUUUUAACCUCAAGAUUUAG
rnacentral:lncRNA from 10 species